rnacentral:lncRNA from 1 species
AUGUUUACAUGCUUGUAAGUGCUAAGUGUAUGACACUGGAAUGCCUCAUUAUAAAUGGGCACUGAAUGACAGCUUAUGUGCUUGGAAGGAGAUGGACUCUUGUUUUCGUGUGUGCAUGCUGUUGCAUCUGGUGCCUUAAGGAAGAGAGAGACAGAACCCUGCAGAAAAAUCCAUCUUUAACUGCAUAUUCUUGUGAUCCAUUAGUAAUAAACUUGUUCUAUUCAGUAAUUUUAAUGCAUGCAAUCAAUGUUCGAACUAUUUUUUCUUUAAUUGUGACAUAUCUCAUGUGGAUGCCAAAGGAUAUACUGUUGUCUGAAUGCAGGCCAAGGUUCAGAGCAAUGUUUUGUUUUGUCACUGUGCAUUAAGGACUUGGUUCAUUAGUGAACAAAAGAUAUUUCAAUAUAAUUAUUUGCAAGUGCUUUAACCAUAGUAAACACAUUUAGUGAUUUUAUAGCAGUCUACAAAAAACACAAGGUAAGCAUCGUGUUGAAAAAAUCCUCCUUUUAAAAGUUGAGUAACAAAGGCACUUUGUUUCAUGCAUCAUUCUGUAUGGUUUCUAAAUCAUGUUGUUCCUGGUGCUGCUUCAUCUGUAGCAGUAGGUUGUUAAACCCUACUAGCAGGUUCCCUCUACAACUUCUCAUGUAGGAAUUUCUAAGGCACUCAGUAUUGCCCUAAAUCUGUUUCUGUUAGUUAAUAUUGAAUACUACAUUGACCUUAGAAGGAGUAUUGUUAGUUCAAACAUUUCUUAAAUAUCCCAUUGAACGUGAACUUAGAAGUGCAGGCAAAUCGUGAAUAAUGAUGAAACGUGUAGUGACUUAAUUUUUCGGUUCUGUCUUCUGUGUAUGUAAAGGAUGAGCCUUUCUCCUCCCUUGCUUUUUCUUCUGAAUUAGUGGGCCAUCAGUUUGUUGUUUAAAAUAAUGUACCACUUGAAGGUCUGUAAGUUACAGCUUAUAAAUAGAAUACCCAAAUGCAUGUGGCGUAAGGAAUAAUGUGAGAAAUUAGUGUUGCUUUAGUGUUACUGCAGUUUUAAAUAUAUGUGAUACUAAAAUUAUUUUGCAUCAGAACUGUUGGAAAGGCAUUGUUGUUCCUGUGUUCUCAGGUGCGACACUGACUAUUUCUGUUCAUUUCUGCCAUCUCCGCUUUACUUUCCACCCAGCCCUUCCCCCACAUCUCCAAUUUCACUUCAUCAGAACAUACCUUAGGGAACAAAGAUGACUGUGUUUUCACUUUGAAUAAUAAUCACGAAUAAGUACAAACUGAGGGGUGGCGUAACUAGAUAAAGCAAGUUAUACAUGCCUAAGUAGAUGAGAUGCAUACCAACAAUGAUUCUUACAAAAUAUGAUGGUUUUUAAUCAGCUAAGGGAAUAGAUCAAAAAUAUUUAUAGUACUAAUAACUACUUACAAUGCUAAUCUUUACAGAAUCAUUGGUUGCAUCUUUUUAAUCCAUUCAAAUAAAAUGUGUUACUUGUACUUUGACCA